rnacentral:rRNA from 2 species
ACAACUUUUAACAAUAGAUCUCUUGGUUCUAGUAUUAAUAAAGAACGCAGCGAAAUGCGAUAAGUAGUGUGAAUUAUAGAAUUUAGUGAAUUAUUAAAUCUUUAAACGCAUAUUACGCCCCUUAGUAUUCUAUAGGGCAUGCCUAUUUAAGCGUUAUUUGUACCCUUAAGCUCUGCUUAGUGUUAGGUGUUUGUUCUACUUAGGACUUGCCUUAAAACAAUUAGUAGCUAGCAUAUUAGCCUAGAGCGCAGCACAUUUUGCGCCUCUUGUUAUAGUUGUUAGCAUCUAUUAAGACACUUUUUAAGCUCUUAACCUUAGAUUAGGUAGGGAUACCUGCUAAACUUAAGUAUAUUAAUAAGCGGAGGAAAAGAAACUAAUAGGGAUUGCCCUAGUAACGGCGAGUGAAGCAGUAAUAGCUUAAAUUUAAAAUCUAGCUCUUUUAGGGUCUAAGUUGUAAUUUGCAGAGGGCGCUUUAGUAUUAGUAGUAGUCUAAGUUCCUUAGAAUAGGACGUUAUAGAGGGUAAGAAUCCUAUACGUGGUCGCUAGCCUUUGCUGUGUAAAGCCCCUUUAACAAGUUAAGUUAUUUAGGAAUAUAGCUCUAAAUAGGAGGUAAAUUUCUUCUAAAGCUAAAUACUAGCUAGAGACUAAUAGUAUAUAAGUAGAGUAAUUAAAAGAUAAAAAGCACUUUAGAAAGAGAGUUAAAUAGCACGUGAAAUUGUUAAAAGGGAAGCGCUUAUAGCUAGACUUGCCUAUAGUUACUUAUCUAGGCUUUUGUCUAGUGCACUCUUCUAUAGGCAGGCUAGUAUUAGUUUAGGUAGUUAGAUAAAGGUCUCUAUUAUAUACCUCCCUUUAGGGAGGCCUUAUAGGGGAGAUAACAUGCAACUAGCCUAGACUAAGGUCCGCGUAUCUGCUAGGAUACUAGCGUAAUAGCUAUAAGUGGCCUAUCUUAAAAUAUAGACUAAAGAGUCUAAUAUCUAUGCAAGUGUUUAGGUAUUAAGCCUAGACGCGUAAUAAAAGUGAAUAGAGGUGGGAACCCUUUUAGGGUGCACUAUUAACUAAUCCUAAUAUCUUUAGAAGGAUUUAAGUAAGAGUAUAGCUAUUAGGACCUAAAAGAUAGUGAACUAUGCUUAAAUAGGGUAAAGCUAGAGGAAACUCUAGUAGAGGCUUAUAGCAGUUCUAACGUGCAAAUUAAUUAUUAAAUUUAGGUAUAGGGGCGAAAGACUAAUUAAACUAUCUAGUAGCUAGUUCCUACUAAAGUUUCCCUUAGGAUAGCAGUAACGUAUUUAGUUUUAUAAGGUAAAGCAAAUAAUUAGAGGCCUAGGGGUUAAAAUAACCUUUACCUAUUCUUAAACUUUAAAUAUGUAAGAAGUCCUUAUUACUUAAUUAAACGUGGACACUUAAAUAUACUAUUACUAGUAGGCUAUUUUUAGUAAGCAGAACUAGCGAUAUAGGAUAAACUAAACAUAGGGUUAAGGUGCUAGAAUGCACGCUUAUUAGACACCAUAAAAGGUGUUAGUUUAUCUAGACAGCAGGAUAGUAGCUAUAGAAGUUAGAAUCUGCUAAGGAGUGUGUAAUAACUUACCUGCUAAAUAAACUAGCCCUAAAAAUAGAUAGCGCUUAAGAGUGUUACCUAUACCCUGCCGCUAGGGCAAGAUUUAAGCCCUAGCAAGUAGGCAGGCGUAGAGGCUUAUAACAAAGCCUUAGGGGUAACCCUAGGUAGAACGGCCUCUAGUACAGAUCUUAGUGGUAGUAGCAAAUACUUAAAUAAGAACUUUAAGGACUAAAGUAGGGAAAGGUUCUGUGUAAAUAGCAGUUAGAUACAGGUUAGUUAAUCCUAAGAGAUAGGGUAAUUCUAUUUUAAUAUUAGUGCUUGCGCCGCGCCCUUAAAAGGGAAGCUAGUUAAUAUUCUAGCACCUAGAUGUAGAUUCUCCGCGGCAACGCAACUAAGAGCGGAGACCUUAGCAGGAGCCCUAAGAAGAGUUCUCUUUUCUUCUUAACGGUCUGUUACCCUAAAAUUAGUUUGUCUAGAGCUAGGGUUUAAUAGCUAGAAGAGCGCUGCACUUUUGUGGUAUUUAGUGCGCUCCUAACAAGCCUUAAAAAUCUACUUAAAGAAAUAGUUUUUACGCUAGGUCGUACUUAUAACCGCAGCAGGUCUCUAAGGUAAAAAGCCUCUAGUUAAUAGAACAAUGUAGAUAAGGGAAGUUAGCAAAAUAGAUCUAUAACUUUGGGAAAAGGAUUGGCUCUAAGGGUUAGGUACGUUAGGCCUUAGGGAGAAGCCUCUAGCGCAGAAGGGCACUAACCGCAAGGUGGGCGCCUCUUAGCGCUAGGGUGCAGACACCCUUAGUAGGUUUUAGCUGUCUAGCGUACGUUUAACAACUAACUUAGAACUAGUAUAGAUAAGGGGAAUCUAACUAUCUAAUUAAAAUAUAGCAUUGUAAUAGCUAGAAAGUAGUGUUAACGUAAUGUGAUUUCUGCCUAGUGCUCUAAAUGUUAAAGCGAAGAGAUUUAACUAAGCGCGGGUAAAUAGCAGGAGUAACUAUAACUCUCUUAAGGUAGCUAAAUGCCUCGUUAUCUAAUUAGUGACGCGCAUGAAUAGAUUAACAAGAUUCCUACUAUCCCUAUCUACUAUCUAGUGAAACCAUAGCUAAGGGAACGGGCUUAGCUAAAUUAGCGGGGAAAGAAGACCCUAUUAAGCUUGACUCUAGUUUAAUAUUGUGAAAAGACAUAGGGGGUGUAGAAUAGGUAGGAGCUUUGGCGCUAGUGAAAUACCACUACCCUUAUCGUUUUUUUACUUAUUUAAUAAAGCAGAGCUAGGCCUUACUACCUAACUUCUAGCGUUUAAGGUCCUUUAUAGGCUAAUCUAGGUUAAAGAUAUUAUUAGGUAGGGAGUUUAGCUAGGGCGGCACAUCUAUUAAACUAUAACAUAGGUGUCCUAAGGGGGACUUAUAGAGAAUAGAAAUCUCUAGUAGAGUAAAAGGGUAAAAGUCCCCUUAAUUUUAAUUUUUAGUGUGAAUAGAAACUAUAAAAGUGUAGCCUAUUAAUCCUUUAGUGCCUUAAAAUUUAAGGCUAGAGGUGCUAGAAAAGUUACUAUAGGGAUAACUAGCUUGUGGCAGCUAAGCGUUUAUAGCGACGUUGCUUUUUAAUCCUUUAAUAUUAGCUCUUCCUAUUAUACUAAAGUAGAAUUUAGUAAGCGUUACAUUGUUUACCUACUAAUAGGGAACGUGAGCUAGGUUUAGACUAUUAUAAGACAGGUUAGUUUUACCCUACUAAUAACCUUGCCCUAAUAGUAAUACCGCUUAGUAUAAGAGGAACUGCGGUUUUAGAUAAUUAGUUUUUGCGGCUAUCUAACUAGGUAUUGCUGCAAAGCUACUAUCUGCUAGAUUAUAGCUAAACGCCUCUAAGUUAGAAUCUAUGCUAGAAUAGGGUAAUUUCCGCCUAUACUAGUUAGAUACAAAUAGGCCUUUGGCCUAGAACCUUACUAGAUUAGCGUUAGCAGCCCUAUUAAAGUUAGGGUUGUUAGCUAGUGUAUUACAAUUAUAUAGUGCGUAGGAUUAAAUCCUUUAUAGAUAACUUA